GGGUGGUUAGCUCAGCUGGUAGAGCAUCGCCCUUACAAGGCGAGGGUCACAGGUUCGAUCCCUGUACCACCCACCA
rnacentral:tRNA from 3 species